rnacentral:lncRNA from 1 species
GACACCAUAGAGGUGGGCCUUUGGCGAGUCACAGGCGCGGGUGUUCGGCUACGUCACUGGGGCGCUACGGUGCCUGGAGCUGGGCAGUCUUCUCGUCAGAGUGGGGACUGGUAAGAGCGACCUCACCGCCAGGUCCUGUGUGUUGCCGGCUGAAGAAGGGUAGCUGAAAAAUUCAGACCCAGCACAGUGUUUAUGUUGGUCAAAAAUAGAAAACUAUGUCUGCCGCGGCCGAGGCAGGAGGACCCUUCAGGCCAAGAGCAGCCUAGCAACAUGGCGCAACCCCAUCUCUGUAGUCCUACCUCAGCCCCCCAGCUACUUGAACCCAAAGGUUCAAGGCUCCAGUGAGCUAUGAUCCCACCACAGCAUUCCAGCCUGCGAGAUUGAGAUGAUGAUUAUUCCCCACCUUCUAAGAGACAAAGACCAACGAUCCACCACAGCCACCAGUCCCAGAACCCGCCAAUGCUGGGGAAUGGAAAAUGAGGGAGUUCAACUCUGGCCCUCACAAUCCAGUGGAGGAGACGAAACUCAUCUGCCUCUGUCCCUCUGGGCACGCCUCAUGCCAGGUGCAUCUGUGGACAGGGGCCAUGCUCCUGGGCUUCCAAAGUUGGAGAAAGCUGCCAGGCUCAGGUCUGAAGGCCAGAAUUCUACAGUAAGUCCUACUGAGUCAAGGUGGGAGCAGGGUCGGUGGCUUCCGAGGCUCUGCGGGAGAAUCCGUUUCCUGGCCGUAGAGGUGGCCUGCACUCCUCAGCUUGUGCUGCCCGUCUCGAAUGACUGGAGUUUCCUGCUUCUGUCACUACACCUCCCACCCUCUCCAUCACCUGCUCUGCUCUUAUAAGGAUCCGAAGAAAUGGAAUCAUCGUAUCGCUGAUCUGCGUAAACAAAUUGAAGAAUUGUCUGAAAGAAAAUAUGACAUGAACUUAUGAAUUCAACAGGUAAAGAUUUACAACUUGAUAAAUCAACUUUGUGAGCUCGAGCUGUAAAAGCCAAAGGUCCAGUGAUGAUCCCAUACCCUUUUGUCCAGUCUCAUGUUGAAGAUUUUUAUGUAGAAGGCCUUCCCAAAGGAAUUUUUUUUUUUUUUUUGAGAUGGAGUUUUCACUCUUAUCGCCCAGGCUGGGGUGCAAUGGCGCAACCUUGCUGGUCACUGCAACCUCUGCCUCCUGGGUUCAAGAAAUUCUCUUGCCUUAGCCUCCCAAGUUGCUGGGAUUACAGGUGCCCACCACCACACCAGGCUAAUUUUUGUAUUUUUAGUGGAGAUGGGGUUUCACCAUGUUGGCCGGGCCAGUCUCGAACUCCUGACGUCAAGUGAUCUUCCCGCCUCGACUCCUGACAUCAAGUGAUCUUCCCACCUCGGCCUCCAAGAGUGCUGAGAUUACAGAUGUGAACCCAUGCCUGGCCAGGAAUUUUGUUUUUUAGGAAGGCUUUCUACUAAUGGAAUUCCUGGCCUUGAGAGGAUGUUACUUUCGAAGGAAAGGAUUUUUUUGUUAUUAAAAGAGCCACCUAAGCUGAAGAUUCCCUUGAGAACAAGUACUGUCCUGCGGUUUCAUGGCCUUUCUUCCAUUUGUGGUUCUUGUGAAGUGGAAUUUAAAUGACAUCAAGAUGGAUAAACCCUAGUUUCCCAGUGCUGGAAUAUAGAAAAUGGAUGGACAACUGGACCUACCAUGAAAGACUUCUGAAUCCAGGAAGAGAAACUGACUGGGCAACAUGUUAUUCAGAGAUGGGACCUCAGUAUGUUGCCACGGCUGACCUUGAAC